rfam:Schistosoma mansoni strain Puerto Rico chromosome 6, complete genome
AUCCAGCUGACGAGUCCCAAAUGGGACGAAACGCGUGUCCUGGAU